rfam:Canis lupus familiaris chromosome 5, whole genome shotgun sequence.
UGGAAAUGAUGAAAUAGACAUAAUUGGGUGUUGAAUGUUAUAUGAUAGGAAAUUUUUAAUAUGUAAGUUAUAUAAUUAAUCUAAGUUUCUUUAAAAAGUACAGCAUCAAA